rnacentral:rRNA from 1 species
GAGGCAUCUCUCCGGGGUUGAAAAACUCCGGUGGUUAUAGAUGGACAUGCGUUGUAUUAGCUAGUUGGUGAGGUAACGGCUCACCAAGGCAACGAUACAUAGGGGGACUGAGAGGUUAACCCCCCACACUGGUACUGAGACACGGACCAGACUCCUACGGGAGGCAGCAGUGAGGAAUAUUGGUCAAUGGACGCAAGUCUGAACCAGCCAUGCCGCGUGCAGGAAGACGGCUCUAUGAGUUGUAAACUGCUUUUGUACGAGGGUAAACUCACCUACGUGUAGGUGACUGAAAGUAUCGUACGAAUAAGGAUCGGCUAACUCCGUGCCAGCAGCCGCGGUAAUACGGAGGAUUCAAGCGUUAUCCGGAUUUAUUGGGUUUAAAGGGUGCGUAGGCGGUUUGAUAAGUUAGAGGUGAAAUCCCGGGGCUUAACUCCGGAACUGCCUCUAAUACUGUUAGACUAGAGAGUAGUUGCGGUAGGCGGAAUGUAUGGUGUAGCGGUGAAAUGCUUAGAGAUCAUACAGAACACCGAUUGCGAAGGCAGCUU